rnacentral:rRNA from 1 species
UACGUAGGGGGCAAGCGUUGUCCGGAAUCAUUGGGCGUAAAGAGCGUGUAGGCGGCCUUAUAAGUCGGCUGUGAAAGUCAAGGGCUCAACCCUUGAAUGCCGGUGGAUACUGUCGGGCUAGAGUGCGGAAGAGGCGAGUGGAAUUCCUGGUGUAGCGGUGAAAUGCGCAGAUAUCAGGAGGAACACCAAUAGCGAAGGCAGCUCGCUGGGACGUUACUGACACUGAGGCGCGAAAGCGUGGGGAGCGAACAGG